rnacentral:tRNA from 1 species
CAAAAUGUAGCUUACUCAAAGCACCUCGCUUACACCGAAAAGAUAUCUGCGAAACUCAGAUCAUUUUGA